rnacentral:rRNA from 1 species
CCUACGGGUGGCAGCAGUGGGGAAUAUUGGACAAUGGGGGGAACCCUGAUCCAGCCAUGCCGCGUGUGUGAAGAAGGCCCUCGGGUUGUAAAGCACUUUCAGUGAGGAAGAACGCCUGGUGGUUAAUACCCAUCAGGAAAGACAUCACUCACAGAAGAAGCACCGGCUAACUCCGUGCCAGCAGCCGCGGUAAUACGGAGGGUGCGAGCGUUAAUCGGAAUUACUGGGCGUAAAGCGCGCGUAGGUGGCUUGAUAAGCCGGUUGUGAAAGCCCCGGGCUCAACCUGGGAACGGCAUCCGGAACUGUCAAGCUAGAGUGCAGGAGAGGAAGGUAGAAUUCCGGGUGUAGCGGUGAAAUGCGAAGAGAUCGGGAGGAAUACCAGUGGCGAAGGCGGCCUUCUGGACUGAAACUGACACUGAGGUGCGAAAGCGUGGGUAGCAAACAGGAUUAGAUACCCCAGUAGUC